CACGAAACCGUGAGAUCAUGACCUUAGCUGAAAUCAAGAGUCAGAUGCUUAACCAACUAAACAACCCAGGUGCCCCAGGACUUUUUUUUUAAUGAAAGAAUAGAAAAUAGAAUGCAUCAUACAUAACAAGAAUAAUUACUUCUAAUUAAGCUGUUUUUUUCUAUUAUAUAGAUACUGGGUUGAAAUAUGAAUGAAUUUCUUAUUGCUGUUCUUGGUUAAACUGUGAAAGCUUCUGAAUUAAAAAGUCUCAAAGUUUAUUCUUAUAAAAUUCUAUGACCUCACAUAGAAUACAUAUCUGAAUAUUAGAGUAAAAAUGUCUUUCUGUUUUAUAUGGCUUAACCAACAAUGUAAGUAAGAAAAGUUUUUCUGCUAAGUUGCACUGCAAAAAGAUCAAUGAGGAAAUGGAACCUGAGUGGAAGGUGAUUUAUCACCAUCUGGUGGUUGGACACUGCAUAGAUUUUAUUCCCAGGAGCUGCAAAACUCCCUGAUGUAUAUCUAAUUUGUUUGGGAUUCUAUCUAAAGUGCAAGAGUUGCAGUGACCAAAGUCUUAACCAAGCAAUCAGAAUUGCUAGCUGAUCUAAGACAUGUCCUCAUACUUCACUUCUGUUUUCUCCUACUCUCUGCUGUAGAAUCUGUGGAAACUACUACUUCCUGUUAAGCCUGUUUCCCUUGGUUUAAGAAUUAAACCAAACAGAGCAAAGCUAGGAUACACAGCAUUUUUAAGAGCAAAGGAAUCAGGAAAUAGGACUAGAGCCUGCAACUUCUAUUUCUGUAGUAUUUUAUGUUGUCAAAUUCACAACUAGUAUUCAGGUUUCUGGAUGUCCUUAACAAGCUUUAUAUGAACAAGAACUAUGCAGGGCACACAUUAGGCUCCUUUUUCUGCUUGGUUUUCUUUUGCUCACUAAUCUUCAAGCCCUUCUUGGGCCCUCUGACCUUUGUCACACUCCACAGCUAUUCUUGUGGCUCUCAUGGGUAUCCCAAUUACAGAAAUGCCAACUAACUUCAGUGAUGGUAAUCUCAGCAACCAUGGUCAGCGGAGCUGACAGAACAGAAGCGCAGAAAAGAUCAUCAGAGAAUGGGAAACGCAGAGCCCUUUUCUGUGCACUAAACAUCCAGUGCUCGACUCGCUAUAGUCAGGGUAAAGUUGGAAAGGAACGAACCCUCAAAGGCCCUGGCAAUCACCUGGAGCACAAGAGGCAGAGGAUACAUACAUGUUUAGGUCACAGAGUUCUUCUCUAGAAUGUUGGCUAUUGUCUUUUUGAUUCCACUCACUGCCUCUGUUCUUCCUUCCUUCACUGUCUUGCCCCAUAUACUCUCCUCUUCUCCAAUUCUUUAUCACCGUGCCUGUGGCUUAAUUCCCACAAUGUGAAAGUUCUAGAGUGUACCCAGAGACCUCAAAAAGAGGUUGAGUCCUGUGUAAGGCAGGAGGGAGACCCUGGACUUUGAGAGGAUUUUCACUUGGCACCAAAAAUGUCCCUGGCAGGAAGCAGCCAUACCAGGGCACCCAGGACACAUGUCCUAUAACUUCUCCACCCUCUUUUUUCAAACAACUAAAUGCACUAAACCCAAGCACACCAAGUCCUCUGGGCUGGCCUGUCCUUGGUUCACUGUUCUCCCUAGGAAAACAGUGCUGUUCCCACUUCCCGGUGUGAUCUUGCCCUCCCUCUAAUAAAGUGAUGCGUUGGCAACACACAGUGGCAAGUGCACGGGAAAAAGAACUACCUUCCCAGGACACUGCUCAAUGUCCAAGGGAACACUCACCAAGGGAGCUGGCUUGGUCGGUGUGGACAGUAUAGUACACAUGGAAGCUCGAGGCACGGCCUCACUCACAGGAGUCAAGGCAGCAGCCUGAGAUGCCUGCGGAGAGAGGCAAGUACAAAGAAGAGUUUUUAGAAAUAUCUAGUUGGUAAGACUGAACAAUAAGGGACCAACGACACACUCUGCUAUAUUAUAUGCUGUGAGCAUGACUUUCUCAAAUGCCUAAGGAUUGCUAAAUAGUGAAUAAAUCGCAGGUUCAAACUCUUCUACCAUGA